rnacentral:rRNA from 1 species
GACGAACGCUGGCGGCGUGCUUAACACAUGCAAGUCGAACGAUGAAGCCGGAGCUUGCUCUGGUGAAUUAGUGGCGAACGGGUGAGUAACACGUGAGUAACCUGCCCUUGACUCUGGGAUAACUGCGGGAAACUGUAGCUAAUACCGGAUACGACCCUCGGAGGCAUCUCCUGGGGGUGGAAAGAAUUUCGGUCAAGGAUGGACUUGCGGCCUAUCAGCUAGUUGGUGAGGUAAAGGGUCACCAAGGCGACGAAGGGUAGCCGGCCUGAUAGGGUGACCGGCCACACUCGGACGGAGACACGGCACAGACUCCUACGGGAGGCAGCAGUGGCGAAUAUUGCACAAAGGGCGCAAGACUUAUGCAGCAACGCCGCGUGAGGGAUGACGGCCUUCGGGUUGUAAACCUCUUUUAGCAGGGAAGAAGCGAAAGUGACGGUACCUGCAGAAAAAGCACCGGCUAACUACGUGCCAGCAGCCGCGGUAA